GCUCCACCGAUUCCAACGAUUAUAGCGACCUUAUCCUCUCCACCGUCCACGCGCGAUUACUCCGCAUGCGCCAUCUCUGCCGCGCACCUCGCCUCCGCCGCAUUCAAUCCGUCGCGCAUCAUCGCCACAACGACAAAUCCUCAUAUCCGACGCUCUCUCCCAAGCGUCGUCGCUGCUACCUCCACUCCGCCUCGGUCCUCCUCGCCUCCUCGCUCCUCCCUGCGUGGCGCCGCUCCGCCGUCGUCCCCUUGCUUCGCUCCCCCUCUCCUCCUCCUCGCCUCCUCACUCCUCCUCGCGUGGCGCACGCCGCCGUCGUCCCCUUCCGCCGCCGCCCAGACGCCGCCGUCGUACCCUUCCACCGCUGCCCGGACGCCGCCGCCCAUACGUUGCCAUCGUCCCCUUCCACAGCCGGAGCCGCGGUCUUCCCCAUCGGCCACACAAAUCGCGCCAUGGCAACUCACAAAAUUCCCCACGCGUGGACCACCAAGGCUCCAUCGCGCUAAUCCCGCGGUGGCUCCCCUAAUCAUGAUAACGCCGUCGCCGCGCCUUUGAACGCUGCUGCACCAUCCGUCAUCAUCCGCACUUCCGCCGCCGUCGUCACCGCAAUCAGUAUCCUGGUGGUCCAGGGUUUCCACCAGUGCCGCUACCCCGUCUCGCCCUGGUUGUGCAUACUCCCACCAGCGUCGCAGCUCCGUCGUCGCCCUGCAAUCGGUGCCUCAGUGGUCCAGGGCUCCGCUGGCGAUGCCACCCCGUCGAGCCACGGUGGUCAAGCCUUCCGCCGACACUGAGCCUCCAUCUUUGUCGCUGCUCUGUGAGUCCUCUAGUGUUGCCGCCAUUGGAAGGGGAUAGACUCAGCAGCUAGGCCUCCCAGCCGUGUGCCUCCCUCUCUUAUGUUGGUGAUACCUGAUUCAACUCAAAUCGACUCUUUUCAAUCCCCAUUUUUCCUCUUUGUGAAUUUUCCCCAUUAGUUCUCUAGCUGAAUUUUCUUAUUCAAGCUUAAUGGUAUGCAUCUCCUUUUAGUUAUGUUAUUCGGUUCUUCUUUACCUUUGUGGAUAAUUGCAGGCUAUAUAUUACGUGAUUGGUGCUGCAGUUUCAUACAUACUAACAUUAUAGUUGUCAUGUUGAAUAUCUUGCAGAUUGUCUUACAGAGAGCAAAUUCAACCAUGCCUAGUCUCUUAUCUUUUUUAUUUAGUCGAAAAAUAACAGUUCCUUUCUUACUGAAAUGGAAAAUGCACGAAACCCUACACUGCAAUUUUCUGCAAUGACAGGGUGACAUUGCUUCUUAGCCAAUUGGAGCACAAAAGAAAAUCCAAUAAACAGGAAAACAUGAUUUAGUAUUGGACAUCAUUUCUGAAAGCUUUUGCACUUAAGAAAUGCAAAUGGACAAGAAUAAGAGCUUCCUCGGGUGGUUGGUAGCAGAACAAGAUAGUAUAAGUUUUCAAGUGGAUAGAACUAAAGCAAAGCUAAGAAUUAAACAUGUGUAAUGGAAGUAUCAGGAAUUCAGAAUGGUAGUUGGCGCAUAUGGAAUGGAUUUGAUGACUGAAAAUUGUGUACCCUGUGAAGAAUUCAUUGCUGGUUUUAAGUUUUAACUUCAUACCGUUAUCAUUUCAAGGAAAGAAGGUCUUGCAAUCGAUCUUCUGAAGAGCUGAGAAAGGUACAGCUUAAAACCAUUAUUUGUUCUAUAGUGAAGUUGAUGUGUGUAUACUAAAUAACAUCGUCAGAAUGAGCAAACGCUAUAAACGAAAAUCAACCUUCAAAUAUAAUAUGUAUAAGCUUUAAAUGUUAAUGGCCACUUAUGCAAAAUGCACUAGGUAAUGUUGUUCUUCAUUUUCAGGAGCGAUUUGUAAAUUAGGUUAAUGAAACAAAAUAUUCCACGUUUUGCCCAAUUUCUAUAAAUUUGAGUACCUGAAUUCACUCACACCAAAUGGAUUGCCACAUCUUUUAAAGGUCAAAUUUAAUUGUCUUGUCAUAUUGCUGCGCAAUCUCGACCCGCACAACGGGUUGUGCAAUGGAACUAGGCUUAUGAUUAGAGCAUUUCAGAAUUAUUCCAUUAGUGCUGAGAUUGUCAGUGGUGCACAUGCUGGGAAGAGGGUCUUCAUACCACGGAUUCCAUUAUACCCCUCGGAGGAUCUUUCAUUGCCUUUUAAGUUCAAGCGGAAGCAGUUUUCCAUCCGUCUUAGUUUUGCAAUGACUAUCAACAAAGCUCAAGGACAGACAAUCCCAAAUGUGGCAAUCUAUCUCCCUGAACCUGUUUUCUCUCAUGGUCAACUCUACGUUGCACUCUCUAGGGGUGUCUCGAGGGGAACAACCAGAAUUUUGGCCAAGCCAAGGAUAGACAUUGACCCCACUGGAAAAAGCACAAAGAACAUUGUAUAUCGAGAUGUUUUAUUCUGAACAGAUUGUCUAAGGUUGAUUAGAGAGUACCAUGUUCAGAUUCUUCUGAAGGCCCAGUUCUUUAUAUUAUUCAUUGGACUGUUGAGCUUGGUUGUUUCUGGAGGACCAGGUUGCAUGGAUGGUAGAAUGUGGUUGCAUUGAGAGUACUAUGUUCAGAUUCUUCUGCUGGCCCUGUUCUUUAUUUUUUUUUUUUCACUGGACUAUUGAACCUGGUUGUUUCUGGAGGACUACGGAGCAUGGCUGGAGUAUCAUAUUGUUUGCACCAAGUGUUCGAUGAUAUCUAGAAUAUCAUAUUGUUUACACCAAGUGUUCGAUGAUAUCUGGAGGAUAACCUGAUGUGGAUUAUGAGCUUGGCUUUGUCUUGACAAAUAAUAGAUGAGUUGAUGCUUGUAAGAGAGGUCUCGAUGAUCUGCUAAUUGCCACUGUUUAGUUACAUGGGGUGAAAUAAUUUUGUGCAAACAUAACUGAUGUAUAUGACAAUACGUCUCUGAUUUGGAUCUUGUAAACUUAUUUGAUUUGGGAAGGACUGCAACACUUGAAAUUUUUAUUGGAAGGACAAUUCAGAAACAUAAUUGGGAACAUUUGCUAUAUUAUUUUAUGAUCUUAUCCUGGGUUGUACCUGAACUUAAUAUUCUGACAUGCCGGUUAAUUUCUGAGUUCAUUUGCUGAACUUGCUGACUAAUUUUAACCGGUGAUGUGCCUGAAGUUUAUAUUGUGACAUAUUGGUUUAUUUCUGAGUUCAAUUUCUGUACUUGCGGACCAAUUUAUAUCACUCACAUUGGCAUGUUGUUGUUGUUUUCUCCAGGACUCCAAGUGGUCUCAUUAGCUAAUGAUGGUAAAUAAUGCUAUAAUUUGAGGGCAACAUUAUGUAUUCUAUAGUGAUGUUGUGUUCUACGUGGACAUGAAUACAAAAGAGCAUGCUACUCAGAAAUCAGGCUAGAGUUCAAAUGAUGAUUUUCAUGAUCUAUAAAACAUUUACUUUUUAUUCUUAAAAAGUGCACUACAUAGAUAAGUUAUAUUUAUUAUUCUAUCUUUUAUGUAUAUAAUACUAAAACGUGCCUUGCACGUGCACGAUAACUAGUACUAAUAUAAAAAGGAGGAGUUGCCUCCUUGCAAUCCUACGGGUGAAAUCAAGGAAAACCAGGGCCCACGCACAAACACGUCGAAUCCCCAUCCCAUCACCACGGAUUCCUCUGCCGUCCCCGCCGCCGCUAACCCCGUCGCCCCACUCCCUCUAUCACCGCAUCCGCAUGUCGCUUCCUCCUCAAUCACUCUGACGAUAGCUUCCUCUUCCUCUUGAUCUCGCCCUCGAUGACGCGCCACCUACACACGAUUUCGCCUUCAACAAAUUCACUCGGCCUCUUCCUCUGCUCGAUCUCGCUGGCUGUCUCCUUCACCGCCACGAAGCCUUGCCGCCCGCCUCCAUCGUUCUCCUGUGUCGCCAUCACCAGCAAGACCUCGCACCGCCGCCGUUGUGACCCUCGAUCCACGCCGAGCUUCCGCCUCCAAGGCCACAGCGAUCUCUUCUUCAGUUCUCAACUUACUACUGGGUGAAAGAUUUGCCUCCUCUGUGUACUAGCCUCAUUCUCCUCAGGUUGCGUAGAGUAAG